rnacentral:lncRNA from 1 species
CCAAUAUGGCGGCUGAAGCUACAUUUCUUGGAGGUUAUAAAGUUGGGCUGAUUUCUGCUUCUCUCUCCGCCAAGAGCGAGAAAGAAGGAAAGAAAAAGAAGAGAGAUAGUAGCUCCCUUUUCGAUAGUGGUGAGGUUGCACAGCCUACGUUUAUUUCGGUUAAAAAGAAGGUAAAAAUAAAAAAAAUAUUGCAAAUACAGUAUGUUGCCCAGUUUUCGGACAAUAAAGGUUACAUUGUAUUUACUGAUUUACAUUACUGGUAUUUACAGCUUUAUUUGAAUAUUGUGUCUUGCUGGGUUGUCAAUAGUAAUAUUCACAAUGUUUGUCGUGUUUAAAAGCAUUACAAUGGUAUAAUUUUUAACUCGACUUUUUAAAUACUGUAGAAGAAGAUCAAAAGUGAAGAUAAUGUGGCUAAGCAAAAUGUUCCUGAUGCAGCUGCAGGUUUGUCAAACUAUGUUUAUCCUAACCCACCCUGUGGUCCCUGUUAACUUUCCCUGUUGGCAGUGACGUAGCAAGAGGGGCGGGGGCUGUGGCUACGUCACUGCAUAUUGGGCCCCCUUGGAAAAAUGCUGACCAGUACAAGCAUGUGCGUUAUAUUUUCAUUUCUUGUAAUGGAAAUUUUAUAUCUUCCUAUCUUUUAAAUGCUCUGGAU